GUGUGAUUAGCUCAGUUGGUAGAGCGUCCGAAUUUAUCGGUUGGACGCAGGUUCGAGUCCUGCAUCAUACACCA
rnacentral:tRNA from 2 species